rnacentral:rRNA from 1 species
CAAUAGCGUAUAUUAAAGUUGUUGCAGUUAAAAAGCUCGUAGUUGGAUUUCUGGUGGGAGCGAUCGGUCUGGCGCUUAGCGCGAGUACUUGCAUCGUCUCCGGCCAUCCUUGGGGAGAGUCUGUCUGGCAUUAAGUUGUCGGGCAGAGGAUCCUCAUCGUUUACUGUGAAAAAAUUAGAGUGUUCAAAGCAGGCUUAUGCCGUUGAAUAUACUAGCAUGGAAUAAUAAGAUAGGACUUUGGUACUAUUUUGUUGGUUUGCGCACCAAAGUAAUGAUUAAUAGGGACAGUUGGGGGUAUUCGUAUUCCGUUGUCAGAGGUGAAAUUCUUGGAUUUACGGAAGACGAACUACUGCGAAAGCAUUUACCAAGGAUGUUUUCAUUAA